AGCCGGGUCCUGCGCAACGGAAACUUGCGAACCCCGCUAGGUCCGGAAGGAAGCAACGGCAGCAAGAACUUUCGUGUGCCGCAGGGGCGCCUGGCUAUC
rnacentral:SRP_RNA from 1 species